GGUUGGUGGAAUCAUAGCCUCCAGGGCCUCUGGUCCCCCUCACCCUGUGCCUUCGUGGAAGGGAGGCCUGAGAGCUGUCCCCAGUGACCGGGGCCCCUGCCCUGACGCCAGGGGUCAGCCUCUCAAGGUUAGGGUCUGUCUCCUUCCCUCCCUCCCUUCAGCUUCGCAGGUAAAGGGCACCCAGCUGCAGGACCUGCCUGUGUCCUCCGAGGCGCUGUCGGCCUGCGGGAUUGUGGCGGGGCCUCCGGGUGAGGCUCGAGGAGUGGAGCUGGGCCAGAUCGAUCGCUUCGUUUGGAUGGAAAAGAACCUAAAAUUUCUCAAUAAGGUUUCUAUUGAUUAGACGGUGGAAUGAUCGUAUUUGGGGCAUGCUCAUGGGUUAAAUUCACUUGUUUGAUUUUCCUUUUUUGGGGGGCCGCAUUCGAGAGACAUGGAAGGUCCCUGGGCCAGGGAUUGAAUCAGAGCCGCAUGGGCGACCUACGCCACAGCUGAGGUAACACGGGACCCUUAACCCACUGCAGCACAGCGGGAACUCCCUGCUGCACGUCUCUGAGCCACACUGUCUUCCUUGAGGAGGCGCUGCUGAGGGUGACGGAGACCCCCCUACUGGAGGUGCCACUGAGGUGUGGCAGGGAGGGGGCAUCCAUCCGUCUGUCCCCAGGCCUCGGACCCUGGUGCCUGAGAGACACGGAUGCUGCAAGACUCCAUCUCCAGCACCACCACUGCUGCGCUCAGACCCUGGGGCUCUGUCAGGAGUCUGCCCUGCACGGCUUUUAUCAAAACAUCCAAAACUAGGCCAGAGACAAGGCCAGGGAACCUGCAGCCCUCGGGCCACUCCAGGCCGCCUACCAGGUUCCGGCAGAGCUGCCGGGCGGGACGUGGACCCCGCGGGCACUUUCGAGCCUGUGCACCCCAGCGUCCCUUCUGCUGCCGAAAGAGUUCUCCACAGAGCGCUGCUGGAGUCCGGGAGCCUGGAGUCCGUGAACCUGGACGAGAAAACAGUCACAUCCAUAUCGGCACCAACUAAAUUCAGCAUCGCCCUGCCUUGUGAAUGUGAGCAGCAAAACCCAGUGAGGUCUGUGGUUUUGCCACCAAUGUUAUCAACCACAAACCCCACUGGGUUUCCGAGCGUCCUACCUUUAUUGCAGAAAUUUCAGGACGGCAUUUGGACUCAAAUCACGGUAGUUCUUAAAUCCGCUACUAGAUAUUCUUUUAAAUGUGCUAGGAAGAAGUAGGAGUUCCCCGGUGGCCUAGCUGGUUAGGAAUCCUGCAUUAUCACUGCUGUAGCUGGGUUAGAUUCCUGGCCUGGGAGUGUCUGCAGGCUGCUGGCCAAAAAAAAAAAGAAGAAGAAGGAGAAAAGGAAGAGGAAGGGGAAGAAAAGAAGAAGAGGCAUGUAUAUUAAACAAUAGUUUGACAAAUUUCAGUGCAUUUGGCUUCCUUUAUAAUCCUACGUAUUUUGCUAUUUUGCAUUGUGCAUUUAAAAACAUGAUCCUGGAGUUCCCGUCGUGGCGCAGUGGUUGACGGGUCCGACUAGGAACCAUGAGGUUGCGGGUUCGGUCCCUGCCCUUGCUCAGUGGGUUAACGAUCCGGCGUUGCCGUGAGCUGUGGUGUAGGUUGCAGACUCGGCUCGGAUCCCGCGCUGCUGUGGCUCUGGCGUAGGCUAGUGGCUGCGGCUCUGAUUCGACCCCUGGCCUGGGAACCUCCAUGUGCCGCGGGAGCGGCCCAGGAGAUAGCAACAACAACAACAACAAAAAGACAAAAAGACAAAAAAAAAAAACAAAAAAAACAACAUGAUCCUGAGAAGGGGUGUCAAAAGCCUAGUUAAUCCUUUUUUUUUUUUUUUUUUUUGUCUUUUUGUCUUUUGUCGUUGUUGUUUGUUGUUGUUGCUAUCUAUCUCUUGGGCCGCUUCCGCGGCACAUGGAGGUUCCCAGGCCAGGGGUUGAAUCGGAGCUGUAGCCACCGGCCUACGCCAGAGCCACAGCAACUCGGGAUCCGAGCCGCGUCUGCAACCUACACUACAGCUCACG
ensembl:lncRNA